CUACGAGGACGAACGCUGGCGGCGUGCCUAACACAUGCAAGUCGAACGAGGUCCAGGGAAGCUUGCUUCCUGAAGACCUAGUGGCGAACGGGUGAGUAACACGUGAGAAACCUGCCUCGGAGUGGGGAAUAACUCGGGGAAACUCGAGCUAAUACCGCAUACCUUCACAUGAUCGCAUGGUCGAGUGAAGAAAGAAUUUCGCUCUGAGAGGGUCUCGCGGCCUAUCAGCUUGUUGGUGGGUAACGGCCUACCAAGGCAACGACGGGUAGCUGGUUUGAGAGAACGAUCAGCCACACUGGGACUGAGACACGGCCCAGACUCCUACGGGAGGCAGCAGUGGGGAAUCUUGCGCAAUGGGCGAAAGCCUGACGCAGCAACGCCGCGUGCGGGAUGACGGCCUUCGUGGUUGUAAACCGCUUUCAGCAGGGACGAAAAUGACGGUACCUGCAGAAGAAGCCCCGGCUAACUACGUG
rnacentral:rRNA from 1 species